rnacentral:rRNA from 1 species
GAUGAACGCUGGCGGCGUGCCUAACACAUGCAAGUCGAACGGAGAUUUAACGCUGAUGAGGCUUCGGCGGAAUCUUGUUAAAUCUUAGUGGCGGACGGGUGAGUAACGCGUGGGCAACCUGCCUCGUACUGGGGGAUAACAGUUGGAAACGACUGUUAAUACCGCAUAAGCGCACGGUAUCGCAUGAUACAGUGUGAAAAACUCCGGUGGUACGAGAUGGGCCCGCGUCAGAUUAGCCAGUUGGCGGGGUAACGGCCCACCAAAGCGACGAUCUGUAGCCGGACUGAGAGGUCGGACGGCCACAUUGGGAAUGAGACACGGCCCAAACUCCUACGGGAGGCAGCAGUGGGGGAUAUUGCACAAUGGGNGAAAGCCUGAUGCAACGACACCGCGGAGUGAA